rnacentral:sRNA from 1 species
CCUCCCGCUUCUCCUAUCGUAGCUGGUAGUCUGAUCCCAGCAGCAGGGCCCGCCGUCCCCCGUUUCACACUGCCAUCCACAACGUCAACUCGCGCCCGUGCCAGGCCAAUUGCAGGCACAACCCAGUUUCCACAGCUGCAUUUCAUGCCUUGCCAUGCGAAUUUUCCGAUAUUCGCGCCGCAUGCGGAAUUAGGGCAUGUGAGGCGCCCGGAAAGUGGUGCUUCUGGAGUAUAUUUGUGCUCGUCGGCCGAGUUAUGUGUUGGCGACGAAUUGGUUUGCUCUGGAAAGAGGGAGGGCCGCAUCCACGUUAGCGGAUGUAAGAAUAUGUGAGCACAUGGCCCCUCGGGGAUAGAAUGACCUCGCGGUAACUGCUUGUCAGUUUUCUGAGCGUGAGGGAUUAUAAAAGGGAUAGAUAAAGAAAUAAGUAAACAAUCUUUUAGGGAGAGGAGGGGAAAGGGUAGGAAGAACAGGGAUAGUCUAACCGGCACUUGCGGCACUUUAUUUCUGUAGGUUCUUCGUUAUUAUUUGCGCGGUCUGCGUGCUCAUCCUCGAAUCUCACGAGCUCGAUUUCAGGAGCACGGCCACAUGCAGCACUCUCUUCAACCGCUCGUUCGUAUACCCAGCGUUUAUACAAGGGAUGGUCAGUGACACAUUCUGGACAUCCCAUUUUAUGAUAGAGUUCUAGUUGCUUCUGAAACCCAUCGUUUGGUUCGCACAGAGGUCUUGAUUGUCGAAUUAGCUCAAGGGCCCCCCAAGCUGUUAAUGCACCUCGUUCUCGGUGAAUCAAGUAUGCAAUACAGACAGUUGCAGAU